rnacentral:rRNA from 1 species
CUACGGGGUGCUCCAGGCGCGAAACCUUUACAAUGCACGAAAGUGCGAUAAGGGAAUCCCAAGUGCGCAUGCAUUAGCAUGUGCUUUUACUAAGAGUAAAUACCUUAGCGAAUAAGUGGUGGGAAAGACUGGUGCCAGCCGCCGCGGUAAUCCCAGCGCCACGAGUGGCAAUCGUAUUUAUUGGGCCUAAAGCGUCCGUAGCAUGUUUUGUAAAUCUUCUGUGAAAUCGUUGUGCUCAACGCAACGGCGUGCAGGAGACACUGCAUGACUAGAGACCGGGAGGAGCUGAGGGUAUUCCAGGGGGAGCGGUAAAAUGUUAUAAUCCCUGGAGGACCACCUGUGGCGAAGGCGCUCAGCUAGAACGGAUCUGACUGUGAGGGACGAAAGCCAGGGGAGCAAUCCGGAUUAGAUACCCGCGUAGUC